UAUUAUAUUUUAAUAUUUUACCAACAAUCUGUUUCUUUUGAUCCAGUUUGCGCAUCGGCAAUGCCAUCGAUUUAUUUCCCGCAUAAGUUAGGUUGUUUUUGUUCUCUUAUCAUUCCUUGUGCAUACUUGUUACUCGCCGAUAAGGUGCGUUUUUAGAAUUUUAUGCGGCAGCUAAUAAGGCCGGUAUACAUAGCGCUGCCUUUGUGCUUUCAACAGCGGAGAACGUAAUUGCCGUAUUAUGUCCCUUCCGGACUAAAUUUAAUCAAUCUUGACGAAACGGAGUAACGCGUCAUGGUUGUUCUGUUAUUGACACGCAGAGCGAUCGACCGAAACCCAUAUUUCAAAUAAAGCACUCCAGUGUUUGUUAUCGAAAAACCACGGUUUUUUGUUCGUCUUGUAUCGUGUCAGCUGAACGAACAAUGCCUACUGACGAAUUACUCCAAUUGAAAUCAAUGACAUGUUUCAUAUUUAUCAUAUUGUGUGCUCAUGAAUUGGAAAUAAGGUUGUCCGACGAAAAGAAUACCUAGUAGCGUUCUAUAUUUAGCUAAAUCGAAAUCGUAGAAAUCAUUGUUAUUACAACUGGCCGCAAUUCUUUUUUCUUUGUUUGUAGUGGCUCGUCUUAUCUUAUUCGAUAAUUAUUGAAUUCGAUAGAAGUGUACUUUGACUUCUUUACUCGAAACUAUUUUUCGUACGGGUUUUACGUAAAACCUAUUCGAAAUGUUUUCACGAAAUAUACGGCGUGAUAAAUGAAAUGAAAUAGCGCAGUUUUAUUUUCCCUCAAGGACAGACGUUUAUAUUAACAAAUAUGAAAUGUUCUGAUGAUGCAUAGUGUAUAAGCAGCGUGUGUCAGCUACUCAUAGGUAAUACGUGUCAUUCCAGCGAAUGCAAUUAAAUCCAAAGUAAGAUUACAGACUAAAGUAUUUGAGUGGAUGACAAUAAAAGAAUACAUAUGUAUUAUAUUAGUCAGUUAAGUUGAUAAACUAUAU